rnacentral:rRNA from 1 species
GAUGAACGCUGGCGGCGUGCCUAAUACAUGCAAGUCGAGCGAACAGACGAGGAGCUUGCUCCUCUGACGUUAGCGGCGGACGGGUGAGUAACACGUGGAUAACCUACCUAUAAGACUGGGAUAACUUCGGGAAACCGGAGCUAAUACCGGAUAAUAUAUUGAACCGCAUGGUUCAAUAGUGAAAGACGGUUUUGCUGUCACUUAUAGAUGGAUCCGCGCCGCAUUAGCUAGUUGGUAAGGUAACGGCUUACCAAGGCGACGAUGCGUAGCCGACCUGAGAGGGUGAUCGGCCACACUGGAACUGAGACACGGUCCAGACUCCUCCGGGAGGCAGCAGUAGGGAAUCUUCCGCAAUGGGCGAAAGCCUGACGGAGCAACGCCGCGUGAGUGAUGAAGGUCUUCGGAUCGUAAAACUCUGUUAUUAGGGAAGAACAAAUGUGUAAGUAACUAUGCACGUCUUGACGGUACCUAAUCAGAAAGCCACGGCUAACUACGUG